rnacentral:rRNA from 1 species
GACGAACGCUGGCGGCGUGCCUAACACAUGCAAGUCGAACGGGGUACCUUCGGGUACUUAGUGGCGAACGGGUGAGUAACGCGUGAGAAACCUGCCUUUCAGUGGGGGACAACAGUUGGAAACGACUGCUAAUACCGCAUAAUGUUAUUUGAGGGCAUCCUUGAAUAACCAAAGCUUUAUGUGCUGAAAGAUGGUCUCGCGUCUGAUUAGCUAGAUGGCGGGGUAACGGCCCACCAUGGCGACGAUCAGUAGCCGGUCUGAGAGGAUGAACGGCCACAUUGGGACUGAGAUACGGCCCAGACUCCUACGGGAGGCAGCAGUGGGGAAUAUUGGGGCAAUGGGGGAAACCCUGACCCAGCAACGCCGCGUGAAGGAAGAAAGGGCCUUCGGGUUGGUUAAAACGUUACUUUUACCUAGGGACGGAACAAAUAGACGGUACCU